GACGAACGCUGGCGGCGUGCCUAAUACAUGCAAGUAGAACGCUGAAGAGAGGAGCUUGCUCUUCUUGGAUGAGUUGCGAACGGGUGAGUAACGCGUAGGUAACCUGCCUUGUAGCGGGGGAUAACUAUUGGAAACGAUAGCUAAUACCGCAUAACAAUGGAUGACCCAUGUCAUUUAUUUGAAAGGGGCAAAUGCUCCACUACAAGAUGGACCUGCGUUGUAUUAGCUAGUAGGUGAGGUAACGGCUCACCUAGGCGACGAUACAUAGCCGACCUGAGAGGGUGAUCGGCCACACUGGGACUGAGACACGGCCCAGACUCCUACGGGAGGCAGCAGUAGGGAAUCUUCGGCAAUGGGGGCAACCCUGACCGAGCAACGCCGCGUGAGUGAAGAAGGUUUUCGGAUCGUAAAGCUCUGUUGUAAGUCAAGAACGAGUGUGAGAGUGGAAAGUUCACACUGUGACGGUAGCUUAACAGAAAGGGACGGCUAACUACGUG
rnacentral:rRNA from 1 species